rnacentral:rRNA from 1 species
GACGAACGCUUUUGGCGCGCCUAACACAUGCAAGUCGAACGAGCGAAAGAGAGCUUGCUUUCUCGAGCGAGUGGCGAACGGGUGAGUAACGCGUGAGGAAUCUGCCUCAAAGAGGGGGACAACAGUUGGAAACGACUGCUAAUACCGCAUAAGCCCACGGUGCCGCAUGGCACAGAGGGAAAAGGAGUAAUCCGCUUUGAGAUGGCCUCGCGUCCGAUUAGCUAGUUGGUGAGGUAACGGCCCACCAAGGCGACGAUCGGUAGCCGGACUGAGAGGUUGAACGGCCACAUUGGGACUGAGACACGGCCCAGACUCCUACGGGAGGCAGCAGUGGGGAAUAUUGCACAAUGGGGGAAACCCUGAUGCAGCGACGCCGCGUGGAGGAAGAAGGUCUUCGGAUUGUAAACUCCUGUUGUUGGGGAAGAUAAUGACGGUACCCAACAAGGAAGUGACGGCUAACUACGUGCCAGCAGCCGCGGUAAAACGUAGGUCACAAGCGUUGUCCGGAAUUACUGGGUGUAAAGGGAGCGCAGGCGGGAAGACAAGUUGGAAGUGAAAUCUAUGGGCUCAACCCAUAAACUGCUUUCAAAACUGUUUUUCUUGAGUAGUGCAGAGGUAGGCGGAAUUCCCGGUGUAGCGGUGGAAUGCGUAGAUAUCGGGAGGAACACCAGUGGCGAAGGCGGCCUACUGGGCACCAACUGACGCUGAGGCUCGAAAGUGUGGGUAGCAAACAGGAUUAGAUACCCUGGUAGUCCACACCGUAAACGAUGAUUACUAGGUGUUGGAGGAUUGACCCCUUCAGUGCCGCAGUUAACACAAUAAGUAAUCCACCUGGGGAGUACGACCGCAAGGUUGAAACUCAAAGGAAUUGACGGGGGCCCGCACAAGCAGUGGAGUAUGUGGUUUAAUUCGACGCAACGCGAAGAACCUUACCAAGUCUUGACAUCCCUUGACAGACAUAGAAAUAUGUAAUCUCUUCGGAGCAAGGAGACAGGUGGUGCAUGGUUGUCGUCAGCUCGUGUCGUGAGAUGUUGGGUUAAGUCCCGCAACGAGCGCAACCCUUAUGGUCAGUUACUACGCAAGAGGACUCUGGCCAGACUGCCGUUGACAAAACGGAGGAAGGUGGGGAUGACGUCAAAUCAUCAUGCCCUUUAUGACUUGGGCUACACACGUACUACAAUGGCGUUAAACAAAGAGAAGCAAGACCGCGAGGUGGAGCAAAACUCAGAAACAACGUCCCAGUUCGGACUGCAGGCUGCAACUCGCCUGCACGAAGUCGGAAUUGCUAGUAAUCGUGGAUCAGCAUGCCACGGUGAAUACGUUCCCGGGCCUUGUACU